rnacentral:rRNA from 1 species
GAUGAACGCUAGCGGGAGGCCUAACACAUGCAAGCCGAGCGGUAUUUGUUCUUCGGAACAGAGAGAGCGGCGCACGGGUGCGGAACACGUGUGCAACCUGCCUUUAUCUGGGGGAUGGCCUUUCGAAAGGAAGAUUAAUACCCCAUAAUAUAUUGAGUGGCAUCAUUUGAUAUUGAAAACUCCGGUGGAUAGAGAUGGGCACGCGCAAGAUUAGAUAGUUGGUGAGGUAACGGCUCACCAAGUCAAUGAUCUUUAGGGGGCCUGAGAGGGUGAUCCCCCACACUGGUACUGAGACACGGACCAGACUCCUACGGGAGGCAGCAGUGAGGAAUAUUGGACAAUGGGUUAGCGCCUGAUCCAGCCAUCCCGCGUGAAGGACGACGGCCCUAUGGGUUGUAAACUUCUUUUGUAUAGGGAUAAACCUACUCUCGUGAGAGUAGCUGAAGGUACUAUACGAAUAAGCACCGGCUAACUCCGUG